rnacentral:rRNA from 1 species
AUUGAACGCUGGCGGCAGGCUUAACACAUGCAAGUCGAGCGGAGCGGCGGAUGGGUGAGUAAUACCUAGGAAUCUGCCUGGUAGUGGGGGAUAACGUUCGGAAACGGACGCUAAUACCGCAUACUAUCAGAUGAGCCUAGGUCGGAUUAGCUAGUUGGUGAGGUAAUGGAGCACCAAGGCUACGAUCCGUAACUGGUCUGAGAGGAUGAUCAGUCACACUGGAACUGGAACACGGUCCGAAGUCCUACGGGAGGAAGCAGUGGGGAGUAUUGGACAAAGGGCGAAAGCCUGAUCCAGCCAUGCCGCGUGUGUGAAGAAAGUCUUCAGAUUGUAAAGCACUUUAAGUUGGGAGGCGUUACCGACAGAAUAAGCACCGGCUAACUCUGUGCCAGCAGCCGCGGUAAUUC